rnacentral:lncRNA from 1 species
CCCAGCUCAGCUUCAUCCAGGGCCCCGUGGCCUCCCGUUCUCCGCCUGGCCACCAUUGGGGUCCAGCUCGGCCCUGCCAGGCCAUGCAGGCUGUGGCACAGUGGGGCCUGCCCUAACAAAGCUCAGUUACCUUUCAAGGCCAGAAGCAAGAGAGAGAUCUCCCAGGCUUGCUCAUAUUUAAAAUGUGGAUUUCACAGAGGUGGCCCCACCUUUCAAAUGGUUUAAUAAGUCGUCAAUUCUCAGCUAGCCAGCAAAUGGAUUUUUCCAGACACAGAGGAAGCUCUUAGCAGCUUCUCUCAGGCAAAUAAUUUCCAUGGGUGGUUUCUUUCUUCCUUACUAAAUAUCAAUUAAUCCAAAACCAGCACAAAAACAUACUAAGUAUUCCAUGUGUAACGGAUAUACGUAUACUUUGACACUGCAGUACAUGUAUAAUUUAUAACAUUUCAUUAGCAUUCUCAAUUCAGGUUUCAUUCUCCCUCUGGAUAGAAAACAAUUAUGAUCCACUCUGGUUGAGAGCACAAGCAGACAAGGGCUUGGCUACACAUAAAGAAAGAUGGAUACUUUUUUGGUCAGAUCAGGUCAACUGUCCCAUCUAUGCCCCCUCACAGCUUUUUACCUACCCUCAACCUACUUCCAGGUAAUGUGGAAGAAUGAGAA